GGGUGCGAUCAUACCAGCACUAAUGCACCGGAUUCCAUCAGAACUCCGAAGUUAAACGUGUUUGGGCGAGAGUAGUACUAAGAUGGGUGACCUCUUGGGAAGUCCUCGUGUUGCACCUC
rnacentral:rRNA from 1 species